rnacentral:rRNA from 1 species
UACGUAGGGUGCGAGCGUUGUCCGGAUUUAUUGGGUUUAAAGGGUGCGUAGGCGGCCUUAUAAGUCAGUGGUGAAAUACUCCAGCUUAACUGGAGGGGUGCCAUUGAUACUGCAAGGCUUGAGUGGAGUCGAGGUAGGCGGAAUUGACGGUGUAGCGGUGAAAUGCUUAGAUAUCGUCAAGAACACCGAUAGUGUAGACAGCUUACUAGGCUCAUACUGACGCUGAGGCACGAAAGUGUGGGGAUCAAACAGG